rnacentral:rRNA from 1 species
UACGUAGGGUGCGAGCGUUAAUCGGAAUUACUGGGCGUAAAGCGUGCGCAGGCGGUUUUGUAAGCCAGAUGUGAAAGCCCCGGGCUUAACCUGGGAAUGGCAUUUGGGACUGCAAGGCUGGAGUGUGGCAGAGGAGACUGGAAUUCCUGGUGUAGCAGUGAAAUGCGUAGAUAUCGUAAGGAAGACCAGUGGCGAAGGCGAAUCUCUGGACAGUUACUGACACUGAGGCACGAAGGCCAGGGGAGCAAACAGG